GCGCUGACAUUGCAGAGUCCCAGGUUAACAAAAUGAGAGCAAAGAGCCGCGACUCUGGCAAGGGAAAAGACAAAGCUGAGUAAAGCACUCUGGCAAAUGGGCUGUUUCUAAUCAUAUAAUAUGAUGUGAAAUAAACCACAAUAAAACAGUGUUUUAUCACAAA